GACGAACGCUGGCGGCGUGCUUAACACAUGCAAGUCGAACGGAAAGGCCCUGCUUUUGUGGGGUGCUCGAGUGGCGAACGGGUGAGUAACACGUGAGUAACCUGCCCUUGACUUUGGGAUAACUUCAGGAAACUGGGGCUAAUACCGGAUAUGAGCUCCUGCUGCAUGGUGGGGGUUGGAAAGUUUCGGCGGUUGGGGAUGGACUCGCGGCUUAUCAGCGUGUUGGUGGGGUAGUGGCUUACCAAGGCUUUGACGGGUAGCCGGCCUGAGAGGGUGACCGGCCACAUUGGGACUGAGAUACGGCCCAGACUCCUACGGGAGGCAGCAGUGGGGAAUAUUGCACAAUGGGCGGAAGCCUGAUGCAGCAACGCCGCGUGCGGGAUGACGGCCUUCGGGUUGUAAACCGCUUUCGCCUGUGACGAAGCGUGAGUGACGGUAAUGUGUAAAGAAGCACCGGCUAACUACGUG
rnacentral:rRNA from 1 species